UACAUGGGGUGCAAACGUUGUUCGGAAUUACUGGGCGUAAAGGGCGCGUAGGCGGUGUGUCAAGUCAGGCGUGAAAGCCCCGGGCUCAACCUGGGAACCGCGCUUGAGACUGGCACGCUAGAGUUCGGGAGAGGAUGGUGGAAUUCCCAGUGUAGAGGUGAAAUUCGUAGAUAUUGGGAAGAACACCGAUGGCGAAGGCAGCCAUCUGGACCGACACUGACGCUGAGGCGCGAAAGCGUGGGGAGCAAACAGG
rnacentral:rRNA from 1 species